rnacentral:rRNA from 1 species
UACAGAGGGUGCAAGCGUUAUCCGGAUUCACUGGGUUUAAAGGGUGCGUAGGCGGGCAGGUAAGUCAGUGGUGAAAUCUCCGAGCUUAACUUGGAAACUGCCAUUGAUACUAUCUGUCUUGAAUAUUGUGGAGGUGAGCGGAAUAUGUCAUGUAGCGGUGAAAUGCUUAGAUAUGACAUAGAACACCAAUUGCGAAGGCAGCUCGCUACACAAAUAUUGACGCUGAGGCACGAAAAGCGUGGGGAUCAAACAGG